UCCAGAGAUGGAUUGGUGCCUUCGGGAACUCUGAGACAGGUGCUGCAUGGCUGUCGUCAGCUCGUGUUGUGAAAUGUUGGGUUAAGUCCCGCAACGAGCGCAACCCUUAUCCUUUGUUGCCAGCGGUUAGGCCGGGAACUCAAAGGAGACUGCCAGUGAUAAACUGGAGGAAGGUGGGGAUGACGUCAAGUCAUCAUGGCCCUUACGAGUAGGGCUACACACGUGCUACAAUGGCGCAUACAAAGAGAAGCGACCUCGCGAGAGCAAGCGGACCUCAUAAAGUGCGUCGUAGUCCGGAUUGGAGUCUGCAACUCGACUCCAUGAAGUCGGAAUCGCUAGUAAUCGUAGAUCAGAAUGCUACGGUGAAUACGUUCCCGGGCCUUGUACACACCGCCCGUCACACCAUGGGAGUGGGUUGCAAAAGAAGUAGGUAGCUUAACCUUCGGGAGGGCGCUUACCACUUUGUGAUUCAUGACUGGGGUGAAGUCGUAACAAGGUAACCGUAGGGGAACCUGCGGUUGGAUCACCUCCUUACCUUAAAGAA
rnacentral:rRNA from 1 species